GUAAGGGUGACCGAGCGUGGGGAGGAAGCGUGGAGCGAAACUGCGAGCCGAUGGACAAGAACCGGAUAUGAGGCGCUGCCGAGCAGGGCGAGUGGGCGAGAAACCGCGAAGCUCUCGUGGCCAAGGUGAGGUGGCGUAAAUCCUGCGGUUGUGCAGUGAAGGAGUGCGUUC
rnacentral:ncRNA from 1 species